rnacentral:rRNA from 1 species
CAGAGGUCUCAAGCGUUGUUCGGAUUCAUUGGGCGUAAAGGGUGCGUAGGUGGCGCCGUAAGUGGGGUGUGAAAUUUCGGAGCUUAACUCCGAAACUGCAUUCCAUACUGCGGUGCUUGAGGACUGGAGAGGAGACUGGAAUUUACGGUGUAGCAGUGAAAUGCGUAGAGAUCGUAAGGAAGACCAGUGGCGUAGGCGGGUCUCUGGACAGUUCCUGACACUGAGGCACGAAGGCCAGGGGGAGCAAACGGGAUUAGAUACCCCGGUAGUCCUGGCAGUAAACGGUGCACGUUUGGUGUGGGAGGAUUCGACCCCUUCUGCGCCGGAGCUAACGCGUUAAACGUGCCGCCUGGGGAGUACGGUCGCAAGAUUA